CGUGCGCGCACGCACGUACGCACGCACGCACGCGCGCGCGCGCGAGCAGCCCGAGUGCCCCCGCCCUCUGCGUGGGCCGCCGCGGCCAGCCCGACAGCGAGCUCUCUCCACUUUUCGCCGGCCGCUUCUUCCCGCCUGGGAGCGAGCCUCAGUCGCCUUUCUUGAAAUCCGGAUUUAAGGCAGCUCUUUUCAUCAGCCGGGCUCUCGAGAGAUUGGCCAUCCGAGAGCCAGCCAACCCAGAACCUCAUCGCCUCUGUCAAACUGUCAAAAUCUGCUUUUCCUUUAAAGCGCUUCCUUCUUGAGACCGGGGUCACACGCUGUUGUAGCCCCUAAGCUGUUCUGAAACUCCCCAGGUUUUUAUGCCUAGUAAUUGAAAGCCUAGGCUAAUUGUGCUGCACAGAUGAAGAGUUCUAUAAGGAAAAAUAAAAGUACACAUGGGAUGGUUAAUUGUCUUUGUCAACUUGGCGGGAUGAAGAAUCGCAGUGGGAAUACCUCUGGGUGCAUGUCUGAGAAGAUGUUUCUAGAAGAAAGAGAAGCCUGUGGAUGUGGGCGGCCCCAUUGGGGUCUUGAGCUGAAUAAAAUUGAGAAAGGUCACUGAGCAU